UUAAAGUUUGAAAACAUAGGU
rnacentral:piRNA from 1 species